rnacentral:lncRNA from 1 species
UUAGAUUCUAUAUUCCAGAAAACUCCCAAAGAGAGAAACACUCCUCUUCCACGACUCCGCUCCUCCUCAAGCAUGAUUUUGCCGACACUGCUCCACCUUGUAACUCUACGAUUUUGGACGAAUUUAUGUUCCAUCUUUGUUUUGGUUUUUAAAAAUUUUUUUUUUCACUCUAAUAUAGUCAGAUUUAUGGUGAAAGGAGUUGAAUCUACUGUUCGAAAUUCAAAAUUGGACAAGGGAAAACAUUGGGCCAUGGAACAAUCUUCAAAUUAAUGCCAAGCCUUAUAAAUCGAAGGUAAACUUUGAGUCUUAGCAUAGCAGAUAGUAACUGUUGUGUUGAGUAACAAUUUCAUGUUAGGAAAAUGUAUAAAGCUCGUUCCACAUUGUCAAAAUAAUGCUUUCCCAACUAGGUUUCGUAGCUUUGCAUUCAAUCCAAAUUUUGUAACUUUGCAUUGUUAUGUUGAAGUUUCUGUUAUGCGUUGUGCCUUGAUUCUGGAUAAUUUAUGGAUCUUUACUGCAAAUUUCGAAGUAUUUUUUUUCCACUUUAAUAUGCAUAAAAAAGGCACUUAGUUCGCAUUUGGAAAACUUAAUUAGGCUAUAGAUUAAAUUGUAUAGAGGAUAAAAUUUGUCAAAUCCAGCUUUUGAUGUAAAUUGUAUAUGGAUUAUUAUCAGUCACUUGUACAGUUUCAGCCUAAAAAACAUAAAAUAAGAGGCGGGGUUCAAAAAAUUUCUAUUGUGGCUUUUUUUGAGUGAUUUUUGUAAAACAUGAUGAUCGUGUUUAUGGAUUCAACUCCUUAGCUAGUCACAUAUACAAGAUGCUAUGAAAAUUUAGCGGCCAAUUGUUCUGCAAAAUGAUCCAGUCACAUUCUUCUUACGCAAAGAAUAGCUGGGGAAAUAGAGGAAGAAGAACUACCGGACAGAAGCAGAAGAACAAAUCAGAGAAAGUGGAAGAAGAAGGAACCAAGUACCAACGGACUUAAUGGACUUUUGAAAGGAAACGGGGUUGUUUGGUAUUAAAUGAAACUGUGUCGUUUUAUUCCAAUAAUUGUUGUAUCAUAAAUUCCUUAUUUCAGCUGGAGUAAAUUCCAGUGAAGGUUUGUGUGAAGCUGUGUUUGCGAGUUGCAGUUCAGCUCGUGACAAAUGGUAUCAGAGUAGGCAUAUUAUACUGGGCAAACAAUAAUCAUGGAUACAAGGUCGAAUGCAGUUGAUGAACACUUGAAGAAAUUGGAUCUGGAGAUUUCUCAUCUGGGUAAUUCCUUUAAAGCUGUUAACAACAGGCUGAAGAACAAGUUGGCUUCCACUGAUCAAUCUCUCCAGGUUAGUGGGCAUAGACACGAAAAACUUGAAGCUACGCUGUUAGAUAUGAAUCAUAAAAAUGAAAAUUUAGUGGCCAUGUUGACCCAGUUAUCUUUAGAUAUCAAAAUGGGGCAGAAAAACAAAGGAGUGGAAGAAACUCUGGUCAAGGUGAAAUCUGAGGGUGUAAUAUAUAUCUUAGGAGCUAGUAACACUGAAAGUAGUAUUUAUACUAUAGGGGAUUUUAAGGGAAAUAAUAGGCUGCCUAAGUUUGAUUUUCCACACUUUGGGGGAGAAGAACCUAAGGAAUGGCUUAGAAAAGCUAGGGAGUAUUUCCAACUUCGUCAGAUCUCACGAGUUGAGAUUGGGUAUUGCUGAAAUGUAUUUGAAAGGUAAAGCAGAUUUGAAGAACCAACAGGGUUGCCAUCUCCUAGAUCUCAUGACUAUCAUAUUCUGUUAAAAGAGAUAGCAUAACCAUUCAAAAUUAGGACUUAUAAAUGCCUUUCUAUUCAGAAAAUAGAAAUAGGGAGGCUAGUGGUGGAGAUCGAAAAUACAAAUUAAGUCAACAGUUAAAGGAGAGCCUUUCACAGGCAAGUGCAAGGACGAAGCUUUAUGCUGAUAAAAAGAGACCAGAAAGGUCAUUUUUUGAAGGUGAUUGGGUAUUCCUUAAAACUCCAUCCAUACAGGCACCAGUCAGUGGAGCACAGGCAGAACUACAAGCUGGCGCAAGUUAUUUUGGUCUUCACCAGAUUAUCAAGGAAAUAGGGACAGUAGCAUAUCAGUUGGCACUACGUGAGGGUUCAAAAUUCCAUCCAAUUUUCUCUGUGUCGUUGUUGAAAAGGAAGUUAGAUGAUAAACAUAUGCCGGUACUAUAUGUGCCUAUUAAUAGUCCUUCCCAAUAGGUAGACCAUUAACCACACUCCAUCUUACAGUCAAGGAUGGUAGAGAGUCGGAUCCGCCCAACAAGGCGAUGGUUGAUUCAUUGGUCAGAUCUUCCUCCUGACAGUGCAACUUGGGAGAAUAUGGAAUGGGUUAAAGCUAAAUUUCCCAAUUGUAGAUCUUAGGGACAAGAUCAAAGUGAGAGGGAUGGUUGUUACGUGAAGAGUAGCUAGGGAAAUAGAGGAACAGGAACUACCAGA